rnacentral:lncRNA from 1 species
GAAAACCACCAUAAAUUUCCACUAAACCAACCAGCAAAAUUCGUUCUUGGUGAAGCUCAAGUUGCUCCUCUCUUUUGUGGUAAGUUACUAAACCCGUUUUUACACUAGACAGCUAUUAGUGUUUUCUUCAUAUCUUUUGUAUAGAGCUCUGUUUCAAGUGAUUUAAGACUUUUUGGAAAGUUAUUUUAUAGAUCUAUAACUCUUAUGAUAGGAACCAAAAUCUGAUUUAUCUUUUAUUUACCCGAAAAUAGGUGAUGAAGUACAGGACAGGUGCUGCCCAGAUUUUCUGUUUUACAAACCCUCCCUGUACUACUGUUAGUAAGUUUAGCAUAACCUUUUGUACAAAAUUGAUAUGGGGGUGAUUCAAGAUGUUCUGAAACUCUAAGACACAUAUCUACAACUGUAAAGAAGACCACAUAGUCCAG